CAAGAUAUAGCUUAUUAGUAAAGUAUUUCAUUUACACUGAAAAUUGAUCUGUGCAAAUCAGAUAUCUUGA
rnacentral:tRNA from 1 species